AUGAAGAAAGAAGAAGAAACCGAGGACGCCGGAGCACCAUCCUCUGCUUCAAACUCUGACCCUAGAACUUCUCUGUCAUGUGCUUCAGAAGCAGAUGGUAGCUCUCUGAAGAAACAAGACACCAAGGAUGCCGGAGCGUCCUCUGAAUCAAGCUCAACAGACCCUGCAACCUCUCCAUUGUUCGCUUCAGAAACAGAUAGCAGCUCGCCGGAGACAGAAGCGUUCGACGAUACCAGCGGAGCAUCCUCUGUAUCGAGCUCAGGCCCCCGCAGUACUACUCGAGUUUCUGCCUCAGAGGCACAUAGCCCGCUGAAGAGAGAAGCACCCAAGGAUAGUUUCCAGCAUUUGAAUGCCAAUGUGCAAUCUAACCCUGACAGUGAAGCUCCAACUCCUCAGGCAGCAUCAGCAGCAGCCUCGUCGUCGCUCCAGCCAUGGAUGGCCGACAUCCUGCAGCGACCCGGUGCAUCCCCCAGGCCAACACCAACCCGCCGAAGAACCCCGACAGCCGACGCGCUGCUGGAGAAGAUCGCCAAGCUGGACCUGCUGACAAAGAUCGGCACCGUCAGGAGCAGGUCCGGCCUGAACUUCAGAGGCAACGUGAGAGACGUCGUGUCCCUCUCCCGGACCCCUGCGCUGGGGCCGCUGCUGCUGUGCUCGGUGUGCCAGCACAAGACGCCGGUGUUCGGGAAGCCGCCGCGGUGGUUCAGCUACGCGGAGCUGGAGCACGCCACCGGCGGCUUCUCGAGAGCAAACUUCCUGGCCGAGGGUGGGUUCGGGUCUAUGCACCGAGGUGUGCUGCCUGACGGCCAGGCCAUGGCCCGCUGGCGUUGGGGUCUGUUGGUCAGCGGCAGGAGAGGCGACGAGCGGGGGUGGUGCGCUGGGGCCGAGGGGCCGACGGCGGGAUCCGCGCCGGAGUCAGGGGGCGGCGGCGGGAGGUGGUCGGGACAUCCAGGAAGAGGCGAUGCGGUGCGGGAGGAGGAGGUGGGGUGGGAAUGGGCCCGUCGGCUUAUUUUUCUCUCAUACACCAACCUUAAGGUCGACGGCAGGUUCCUGCGAUCUAGUAUAGCAUAA
rnacentral:rRNA from 1 species